UACAUGGGGUGCAAACGUUUGCUCGGAAUUAUUGGGCGUAAAGCGCACGUAGGCGGUUCGUUAAGUCGGAUGUGAAAGCCCCUCGGCUCAACUGAGGAAGUGCACCCGAAACUGGCGAGCUUGAGUACGAAAGAGGAUCGCGGAAUUCCCGGUGUAGAGGUGAAAUUCGUAGAUAUCGGGAGGAACACCGGUGGCGAAGGCGGCGAUCUGGGUCGAUACUGACGCUGAGGUGCGAAAGCGUGGGGAGCAAACAGG
rnacentral:rRNA from 1 species